rnacentral:rRNA from 1 species
UACAGAGGGGGCAAGCGUUGUUCGGAAUUACUGGGCGUAAAGGGCGCGUAGGCGGCCUGUUAAGUCGAACGUGAAAUCCCCGGGCUCAACCCGGGAACUGCGUCCGAUACUGGCAGGCUUGAAUCCGGGAGAGGGAUGCGGAAUUCCAGGUGUAGCGGUGAAAUGCGUAGAUAUCUGGAGGAACACCGGUGGCGAAGGCGGCAUCCUGGACCGGUAUUGACGCUGAUGCGCGAAAGCGUGGGGAGCAAACAGG